rnacentral:rRNA from 1 species
UACAGAGGGUGCAAGCGUUGUUCGGAAUUAUUGGGCGUAAAGCGCGUGUAGGCGGCUUUGCAAGUCGGGUGUGAAAUCCCUCAGCUUAACUGAGGAAGUGCGCCCGAAACUGCCGAGCUUGAGUACCGGAGAGGGUGGCGGAAUUCCCCAAGUAGAGGUGAAAUUCGUAGAUAUGGGGAGGAACACCGGUGGCGAAGGCGGCCGCCUGGACGGAUACUGACGCUGAGACGCGAAAGCGUGGGGAGCAAACGGG